ACGUAGGGUCCAAGCGUUAAUCGGAAUUACUGGGCGUAAAGCGUGCGCAGGCGGUUGGCAAAGUCAGCUGUGAAAGCCCCGGGCUUAACCUGGGAAUGGCGGUUGAAACUAGUCGACUAGAAUCUGGCAGAGGGGGGUGGAAUUCCACGUGUAGCAGUGAAAUGCGUAGAGAUCCGGAAGAACACCGGUGGCGAAGGCGGCCCGCUGGGCAGGAAGACGGAGCAAUCCGUCGGCUGACGCUGAGGCGCGACAGCGUGGGGAGCAAACAGGA
rnacentral:rRNA from 1 species